rnacentral:rRNA from 1 species
GGGCCCGCACAAGCGGUGGAGCAUGUGGUUUAAUUCGAUGCAACGCGAAGAACCUUACCUGGUCUUGACAUACACAGAAUCUUGUAGAGAUACGAGAGUGCCUUCGGGAAUUGUGAUACAGGUGCUGCAUGGCUGUCGUCAGCUCGUGUCGUGAGAUGUUCGGUUAAGUCCGGCAACGAGCGCAACCCCUGUCUUUAGUUGCCAUCAUUUAGUUGGGAACUCUAAAGAGACUGCCGGUGAUAAGCCGGAGGAAGGUGGGGACGACGUCAAGUCCUCAUGGCCCUUACGGGAUGGGCUACACACGUGCUACAAUGGCAGUGACAAUGGGUUAACCCCAAAAGCUGUCUCAGUUCGGAUUGGAGUCUGCAACUCGACUCCAUGAAGUCGGAAUCGCUAGUAAUCG